CGGCGUCUAUACAUGCAAGUCGAGCGAACAGAUAAGGAGCUUGCUCCUUUGACGUUAGCGGCGGACGGGUGAGUAACACGUGGGUAACCUACCUAUAAGACUGGGAUAACUUCGGGAAACCGGAGCUAAUACCGGAUAACAUUUGGAACCGCAUGGUUCUAAAGUGAAAGAUGGUUUUGCUAUCACUUAUAGAUGGACCCGCGCCGUAUUAGCUAGUUGGUAAGGUAACGGCUUACCAA
rnacentral:rRNA from 1 species